AUGUGGAUUAAAAUACUGUGGAUAUUUGUUCAAGUUUUGCUUGACACUUCAGUCGAAGCACAGCAUGUGGACCCUGAAGUGGGCUUAACAGCUCAGGAACAAGUUCUCCUGCUGUACGACAUCAAACUGCAGUGCCUUCAGAACAUCUCCGAACACAAUCCUGCUGGUAAGACCUCACCUGUGGAUUCUGUUUGGUCCUCUGAACCUUUUUCUCUCGAGUCUAAUGAGAUGGUCAGUGGGAGCCGAGAGGAUAGAUCAUCUGCAUAACUGAUAGAAAUAUAUCAAGAUGAAAGUCACUCACACUAAAACACAUUUAUGUCAUUAGUUCAUUAGUUUAAAAGCCUUUUACAUGUGAAUUCACAUCUGACGCAUAAUCCGCGGAACAGAAUGUGACAUUAGAAUCUGCUUAGAGGACUUCUGUCAAAAUCUGCCACCAGAGAGAUCCAAGAUCCGUUUUCAACUGAAGAAUCUCAGAUGUUUCGUUGGUUCAUGUGGUUUCUGAGCUUGAAUCUGUCUUGGUCCUGUCCAAGUGUCUUCGGUCUCUCUGCUUUGAAGCUUUAUUUAGAUACUGAGUUACCUUACAGUCAUAUAACGUCUAUAUCUGCCUACUCAUAUAAGCAUCUGAGCUCAGCAGUGGAGUCCAAAUGAUGGCACUAGUGAAAAUGUGUCUGCUUUGCAUUUAAUUUGAUGCAGAUUCAAGGAUAUCGAUCUCAGCUGUGAUGGAUUUGUCGCUUUUCAAGUUGGCGUCGUUGAAUUAUAACAACACCCGCAGGCUCUUCUGUUUGAUCCAGUUUGAUUGAUUUUUUACAGUAAAUGACAUAAAGGUGACAAUUUUCCAGCUUAAAUGCAAGCUGGGAGCAUGAUGUUAAAAAGCUGGAUUUGUAACCAGUAGGUUGUGGGUUUGAAUCCCAACAGGAUUCUUCAUGCGUCAUCACUGCUGAGCAAGAAUACACUGGUGUAGGUUUACUUUGAAACAUUUUUCACUCAGAAGCUGCUAAUAAAUUUCAUAAAUCAUUACAAAGAAAUGACACACUGAA
rnacentral:lncRNA from 1 species